UAGUUUGAUUCUUGCUGUUUUUUGAUUAAGGCAAAAUAUGAUACAUGCAACGCUCCAGUACCCCGUGCAACCACUCUUUCCCCCUCUUAAAGAUCUAUUUCUUGGAUAAGGACACUAGUAACCAACUUCACGCCUGCAGUAAAGAAUCUUGCCCAAUAUUAAACUUAUGCCCCAGAUAUUGCCUUAUAGUGCUGACUAAAUUCGUGCCAGCUGUCGCGGUUAAACGAUAAGCACAAAUCAAAAAUUUUUUCGGAGAGCAUCCUGAUAAAAAUUACUCGUUAAAGUGGUAUAAUACGUCGAUCGUUCUUUAUUUAAUAAUUAUCAACCUUCACUAAAUGAAAGAAUAAACCAAAACAAGGAUUAGAUACCCUUUUAUCUUAUUCCCUAAACACUGCUCCGAGCACUACGAACACAUGUUUAAAACUCAAAGAAAUUGGCGGCACUUUAUGCUUCUAGGGGAAUCUGUCAUUUAAUUCGCUAACCCACGUUAAACCCUUCUUGUUUUUGUCUCAUCAGCCUGUAUACCGCCGUCGUAAGCUAGUAUUAUUUUAAAAUCUCUAGCUAAUUAGUUUCCCCCUUUCACGUCAGGUCAACGUGCAGCCUAUAAACAAGCUUAGAUGGAUUACAUUAACCACAGAACAGGUCACCUUAUUUUACGUUAUGGUGUAAUAUGGACUUAGCAGUAAGCAAAAAAUAGUAUGUUUUGCUGAAUUCGCAAUCUAUAGUGUGCACACAUCGCCCGUCACUCUCACCGAAAGGAGAGAUAAGUCGUAACAAAGUAGGCGUAACUGAAGUUGUGCCUU
rnacentral:rRNA from 1 species